UAACGCGUGGGUAACCUGCCUCACNCNGGGGGAUAACAGUUGGAAACGACCGCUAAUACCGCAUAACCCGCUAGGGCCGCAUGGCCCGGACGGAAAAGAUUUAUCGGUGUGAGAUGGACCCGCGUUGGAUUAGCUAGUUGGCAGGGUAACGGCCUACCAAGGCGACGAUCCAUAGCCGGCCUGAGAGGGUGAACGGCCACAUUGGGACUGAGACACGGCCCAAACUCCUACGGGAGGCAGCAGUGGGGAAUAUUGCACAAUGGGGGAAACCCUGAUGCAGCGACGCCGCGUGAGUGAAGAAGUAUUUCGGUAUGUAAAGCUCUAUCAGCAGGGAAGAAAAUGACGGUACCUGACUAAGAAGCCCCGGCUAACUACGUGCCAGCAGCCGCGGUAAUACGUAGGGGGCAAGCGUUAUCCGGAUUUACUGGGUGUAAAGGGAGCGUAGACGGUUAAGCAAGUCAGAAGUGAAAGGCUGGGGCUCAACCCCGGGACUGCUUUUGAAACUGUUUAACUAGAGUGCUGGAGAGGUAAGCGGAAUUCCUAGUGUAGCGGUGAAAUGCGUAGAUAUUAGGAGGAACACCAGUGGCGAAGGCGGCUUACUGGACAGUAACUGACGUUGAGGCUCGAAAGCGUGGGGAGCAAACAGGAUUAGAUACCCUGGUAGUCCACGCCGUAAACAAUGAAUACUAGGUGU
rnacentral:rRNA from 1 species